rnacentral:rRNA from 1 species
AGUGAACGCUGGCGGUAGGCCUAACACAUGCAAGUCGAACGGCAGCACAGUAAGAGCUUGCUCUUACGGGUGGCGAGUGGCGGACGGGUGGGGAAUACAUCGGAAUCUACUUUUUCGUGGGGGAUAACGUAGGGAAACUUACGCUAAUACCGCAUACGACCUACGGGUGAAAGCAGGGGAUCUUCGGACCCUGCGCGAUUGAAUGAGCCGAUGUCGGAUUAGCUAGUUGGCGGGGUAAAGGCCCACCAAGGCGACGAUCCGUAGCUGGUCUGAGAGGAUGAUCAGCCACACUGGAACUGAGACACGGUCCAGACUCCUACGGGAGGCAGCAGUGGGGAAUAUUGGACAAUGGGCGCAAGCCUGAUCCAGCCAUACCGCGUGGGUGAAGAAGGCCUUCGGGUUGUAAAGCCCUUUUGUUGGGAAAGAAAAGCAGCAGGUUAAUACCCCGCUGUUCUGACGGUACCCAAAGAAUAAGCACCGGCUAACUUCGUG